CUAGUAAUGUGUAAAUGAUGUAUACAGAUACCUGUUCAAUUCUGUUAAAUUAUGACGCUGGCCCUUUAAGAUUUCGGUGGGUGAGAUCUCAUUCGCGAGUCAGUCUCGUGAGAGUUAGAGCUGAAGUAGUGCGGUUAACAGAGUGUGUAUUGCAUCAUCAGUGCUUUGGAAAUAUACAACUAAUAUUAGGAUAAAACACCAAAAGGGUGAAAAAUAUUCAGUUGUAUUAGCCCAAUAUUGACUUGGUGAAAAGUGCAUCGAUGUGAUUGAGUUGUGAUGUAUGACAAUUGAUGACAAAUGAUCGUGAUCCAUGUGAAGUGUUUCUCCUCGUGUCAAAAACACGAUUUGUUGACUAAUCAUAAAGCAGGGGAGAAAGAAAAGUGCUUUAUAGGCCAUCUGAUAAAAACACCAAAAGGGUGAAAAAUAUUCAGUUGUAUUAGCCCAAUAUUGACUUGGUGAAAAGUGCAUCGAUGUGAUUGAGUUGUGAUGUAUGACAAUUGAUGACAAAUGAUCGUGAUCCAUGUGAAGUGUUUCUCCUCGUGUCAAAAACACGAUUUGUUGACUAAUCAUAAAGCAGGGGAGAAAGAAAAGUGCUUUAUAGGCCAUCUGUGAGAUCCAAAUUGUGUUCAUCAGUACAGAGUGAGUUGAUUAUUUCUUUGAUAUGGAAGUUUUCUGUACAUUUCAUGCAAGUAUUGUGAAAUGUGUAACUUUGACAUGCACGUUGAAUUGUGUAUCGUUUGUAUUUUCAGAGAGUCUAAAGUCCACUACCGUUGUUUUUUUUGUUAUCCUAAAAAAACCACAUUUAUGUAUUUUUGCUUUGUUUUUGUGCUUUUGCAAAAUUCAUAGAUUUAACAGGGGAAGCUAAUUCCAGUUUUUUUUUGUCUUUUACAUUUAUUUUUGUCCUGCUCUGGUUUCUAAAACAUUUUCAACCCCAAAAAGCCAAAGCUAUUGUUAAUGCUGUGUCCCUAUGGUCACAGUCGGAAAUAAAAGACCCUUAAUUUAAGUUUGCCUGUGUUUUGGACCUUUCAUUCUUUUGAAAGCAAGCGGUCAGCCGGCAACAUAUAUAUAAAUAUUAUUAUAAAUAUAUUAUAAAUGUGUAUAUAUAUAUUAAAGAAAAUUAAAUGAAUAAAAAUUAAAUAUUUAGGCCAAAAUUUAUUUAUAUUAUACAAAAUAUUUGUCAGUCAUACAUAAAUUAAAUAAGAAUAAGUACUAGUAUUAAAUAAACCAAAUACACAAUAACCUGGUUUAUAUCAAUAAAUACAAUUUAUAUCUCAAACAUUAUAACUAAAUGAAUUUUGCUUGUUCC
ensembl:lncRNA